GACAGAGGGGGCAAGCGUUGCUCGGAAUCACUGGGCGUAAAGGGCGCGUAGGCGGGAUGGCAAGUCAGUCGUGAAAUCUCUCGGCUCAACCGAGAAACGUCGGCUGAUACUGCCGUUCUUGAGGGAUGCAGAGGAGACUGGAAUUCCUGGUGUAGCGGUGGAAUGCGCAGAUAUCAGGAGGAACACCGAUGGCGAAGGCAGGUCACUGGGCCGCAACUGACGCUGAGGAGCGAAAGCAUGGGGAGCGAACAGG
rnacentral:rRNA from 1 species